rnacentral:rRNA from 1 species
AGUGAACGCUGGCGGCAGGCCUAAUACAUGCAAGUCGAACGGCAGCACAGCAGAGCUUGCUCUGUGGGUGGCGAGUGGCGGACGGGUGAGGAAUACAUGGGAAUCUGCCCAGUCGUGGGGGAUAACGUAUGGAAACGUACGCUAAUACCGCAUGCGCCCUACGGGGGAAAGCCGGGGACCGCAAGGCCUGGCGCGAUUGGAUGAGCCCAUGUUCGAUUAGCUAGUUGGCGGGGUAAAGGCCCACCAAGGCGACGAUCGAUAGCUGGUCUGAGAGGAUGAUCAGCCACACUGGAACUGAGACACGGUCCAGACUCCUACGGGAGGCAGCAGUAGGGAAUAUUGGACAAUGGGGGCAACCCUGAUCCAGCCAUGCCGCGUGAGUGAAGAAGGCCCUCGGGUUGUAAAGCACUUUUGUUGGGAGAAACCGGCCGGGUUAAUACCCUGGUUGAAUGACGGUACCCAAACGAAUAAGCACCGGCUAA